rnacentral:lncRNA from 1 species
GUCAUUUUUAAAGUACACAGUUAUGUAGUUAGAUGUGAGAACGGGAGUCCAGUUUUAGUCUGUGGGAAAGCAACGCUUUACAGAGAUUGUGUUUUUCCGACAAUCCCUCCCGAUGGCAGAAUAACGUGACUACACAAUCGUUCUAAUACGGGUUUGUUGCUCCUGUGCUUGGUGGCACUUAGCUGUGGUAAGGGGAAUCGCCGGUAGCUCACCUAUGCUUAUUAAAUACAGAAAAUGAAAUGAUUUACAGCUCACAGUUGGCACUACAUGGGUCCCCUAGCAAAACAGGUGGGAUAGCAUGUGUUGGGAGCUAAAUGAAACCAACCAUAAAACGUGAGAAGAAUAGGCCCUACUUGGGGGAGAGGUAUUUAAGAUGGGGUAUCUCAGAAGCCAGAGUUUGUGCUGGGAAAAGCUCCAUGUAUUAAAACAAUAAUGAAAGUGCAUAAAAAAUAGCAGUUCCUACUGUGUGCGCAGCACAGGUCAGUUUGACCCUCGUAACAGCCAUGAAAUAGGCCUUCGUUCUCAUUAUUCUCGUCUUCAGGUGGGACUUUCAGGGAAAUCAAAUUCAGCCAUGUUCAAAAUCAAAUUCAGCUGCUGUGUGUAUGAUAUUUAUGAUUGGCAGUGUUAUCAAAAGCUCUUUAUUUUAAAUCUUUUCUAUUAAAGGGUAAUCUAGGGACUUUGGUGGGACAAAGCCUCACAGGAGACUGACAUCUGGAGACAGAGUUAACUUCUUGGAUAAAUAGUUCACUUGAGAAAAAUAAAGGACUUGAAAUACUU